rnacentral:rRNA from 1 species
AUUGAACGCUGGCGGCAGGCCUAACACAUGCAAGUCGAACGGUAGCACAGAGAGCUUGCUCUCGGGUGACGAGUGGCGGACGGGUGAGUAAUGUCUGGGAAACUGCCCGAUGGAGGGGGAUAACUACUGGAAACGGUAGCUAAUACCGCAUAACGUCGCGAGACCAAAGUGGGGGACCUUCGGGCCUCACACCAUCGGAUGUGCCCAGAUGGGAUUAGCUAGUAGGUGGGGUAAUGGCUCACCUAGGCGACGAACCCUAGCUGGUCUGAGAGGAUGGACAGCCACACUGGAACUGAGACACGGUCCAGACUCCUACGGGAGGCAGCAGUGGGGAAUAUUGCACUAUGGGCGCAGGCCUGAUGCAGCCAUGCCGCGUGUAUGAAGAAGGCCUUCGGGUUGUAAAGUACUUUCAGCGGGGAGGAAGGCGGUGAAGUUAAUAGCUUCACCGAUUGACGUUACCCGCAGAAGAAGCACCGGCUAACUCCGUGCCAGCCGCCGCAGUAA